rnacentral:tRNA from 1 species
UGACCCAUGGUGUAAUGGUAACACAGCAGAUUUUGGUUCUGUCGUUCUAGGUUCGAGUCCUAGUGGGUCAA